CGGGCUGUAGCGCAGUUUGGUAGCGCGCCUGCUUUGGGAGCAGGAUGUCGCAGGUUCGAAUCCUGUCAGCCCGACCU
rnacentral:tRNA from 1 species